UACGUAGGCAGCGAGCGUUGUUCGGAGUUACUGGGCGUAAAGGGUGUGUAGGCGGUUGUUUAAGUUUGGUGUGAAAUCUCCCGGCUCAACUGGGAGGGUGCGCCGAAUACUGAGCGACUAGAGUGCGGGAGAGGAAAGUGGAAUUCCUGGUGUAGCGGUGAAAUGCGUAGAUAUCAGGAGGAACACCAGUGGCGAAGGCGCCGCUCUGGGCCGAGACUGACGCUGAGGAGCGAAAGCGUGGGUAGCAAACAGG
rnacentral:rRNA from 1 species